rnacentral:tRNA from 1 species
GCAAGCAUGGCUCAGUGGUUGAGCAUCAAUCUAUGAACCAGGAGGUCAAGGUUCGAUUCCUGGUCCAGGCA